GGAGAUCGAAAAUCAACCUCCGUUUCAGAUCGACCUUGGUAAUCUAACGGCGUUCAAUCCUCACCAUCAAUUUCCUUCCCUUUCCUCCUCCAGGGAGGAUCUAGUGAAUGAAUGUCUGCAAAAGGGAACAGAGUUAGUUCAAUUUAUUGCCAAUGAUCUAUUCAACCUACCUUCAACCGAAGACAGAGAUGGUCCCCUUGUGAAGCUGCCUCCACCUACUACAAGAU
rnacentral:misc_RNA from 1 species